rnacentral:rRNA from 1 species
CAGAGGGUGCGAGCGUUAAUCGGAAUUACUGGGCGUAAAGCGCGCGUAGGCGGCUUUGCAAGUCGGGUGUGAAAUCCCCAGGCUUAACCUGGGAACUGCAUUCGAGACUGCAUUGCUAGAGUAUGGGAGAGGGAAGUGGAAUUUCCGGUGUAGCGGUGAAAUGCGUAGAUAUCGGAAGGAACAUCAGUGGCGAAGGCGACUUCCUGGACCAAUACUGACGCUCAUGUGCGAAAGCGUGGGGAGCAAACAGGAUUAGAUACCCUGGUAGUCCACGCCAUAAACGAUGAGAACUGGAUGUCGGGAGGGUCUGCCUCUCGGUGUCGUAGCUAACGCGUUAAGUUCUCCGCCUGGGGAGUACGGCCGCAAGGUUG